rnacentral:rRNA from 1 species
UACGGGGGGAGCAAGCGUUGUUCGGAUUUACUGGGCGUAAAGGGCUCGUAGGCGGCCAACUAAGUCAGACGUGAAAUCCCCAGGCUCAACCUGGGAACUGCGUCUGAUACUGGAUGGCUUGAAUUCGGGAGAGGGAUGCAGAAUUCCAGGUGUAGCGGUGAAAUGCGUAGAUAUCUGGAGGAAUACCGGUGGCGAAGGCGGCAUCCUGGACCGAGAUUGACACUAAAGCGCGAAAGCCAGGGGAGCAAACGGG